rnacentral:rRNA from 1 species
UACGGAGGGUGCAAGCGUUAUCCGGAUUUACUGGGUUUAAAGGGUGCGUAGGUGGGUUGGUAAGUCAGUGGUGAAAUACCUCGGCUUAACCGAGGAAUGGCGCUCAAAACUGCCGGGCUUGAGGGAGAUAGAGGUGAGCGGAACUUAAGGUGGAGCGGUGAAAUGCGUUGAUAUCUUAAGGAACACCCGUGGCGAAAGCGGCUCACUGGAUCUCUUCUGACGCUCAGGCACGAAAGCCAGGGGAGCGAACGGG